GUAAAUAUAGUUUAAAUAAAACAUUAGAUUGUGAAUCUAAUAACAGAGCCUAAUACCCUCUUAUUUACC
rnacentral:tRNA from 2 species